rnacentral:rRNA from 1 species
UACGGAGGGUCCGAGCGUUAAUCGGAAUUACUGGGCGUAAAGCGCGCGUAGGCGGUUUGUUAAGUCAGUUGUGAAAGCCCCGGGCUCAACCUGGGAAUUGCAAUUGAUACUGGCAGGCUAGAGUACAGUAGAGGGUGGUGGAAUUUCUUGUGUAGCGGUGAAAUGCGUAGAUAUAAGAAGGAACAUCAGUGGCGAAGGCG